rnacentral:lncRNA from 10 species
UUAAAUAUUACCAUAGUGUAGUUUAAAAUAUAAAAUAGGAUUUGGAAUCUUAUUGUGAUAAAUUUCUGUAUAUGAUGUAUGUGGUUGUCUCCCUCCGCCAAAGUAAGGAACCCUUUUACAGCAUGUUGAGAAGGUAUUUUUUGGUAUGAAAGGGGGACAGGCCUUUACAUCUUUCAGGGAUACACAUAAGCAUAAGGAUUCAGCCUCUAUGGGGAAGGUGUGUGCAGCACUCAAAGUUGCUAACAUCAACUUCCUAACUUUCAGCCAGGGUUCUUACUGCAUUUGGCAUGGCUCUGAUGAGAGAGUGGAGAAUUUCUGACAGCAUAGCACACUAGCUUCUGACAGAUGGGGUUAAGUUGCCAAAAAUGACAAUCAGGGAUUCAAUAAGAAAUUUUGGUCAUUAAAUCGAUUUUAUAUUAUUGCUUUUUUUUUUUUUUUUUUGAGACGGAGUCUCCCUGUGUCGCCCAGGCUGAAGUGCAGUGGUGCAGUCUCACUCACUGCAAGCUCCGCCUCCCGGGUUCAUGCCAUUCUCCUGCCUCAGCCUCCUGAGUAGCUGGGACUACAGGGGCCUGCCACCAUGCCCAGCUAAUUUUUUUUGUAUUUUUAGUAGAGAUAGGGUUUCACCGUGUUAGCCAGGAUGGUCUCGAUCUCCUGACUUCGUGAUCCACCUGCCUCGGCCUCCCAAAGUGCUGGGAUUACAAGUGUGAGCCACCGCGCUCGGCCUAUAUUAUUACUUUUUAUUAGGUUGGUGCAAAAGUAAAUGUGGUUUUUGCCAUUACUUUUAAUGGGAAAAACCGCAAUUACUAAUCUUCCGUUUGUCAUAGGACUUUAAAACCAUAUAUUUCCCCUCAAUUUUAUUCUCCUUUUGGUUUAAUAGUUGUUAAGACAUUUUUUCAUAAUUAGCACAGUAUGUUUGACUGCAGACCCUUUUUUUUUUUUUUUUUUGAGACGGAGUCUCACUCUGUCACCCAGGUUGCAGUGAGCCGAGAUCGCUCCACAACACUCCAGCCUCAGGGACAGAGUAAGAUUCUGUCUC